AUCCAGCUGACGAGUCCCAAAUAGGACGAUGUGUCGCACAUCCUGGAU
rfam:Schistosoma rodhaini strain Burundi genome assembly, scaffold: SROB_scaffold0000461